UACUUCAUGAGGAAAUUGUUCGGCUGGAG
rnacentral:piRNA from 1 species